ensembl:misc_RNA 7SK 7SK RNA
GAAUGUGGGGGCGAUCUGGCUGCGACAUCUGUCACCCCAUUGAUCGCCAGUGUUGAUUCGGCUGAUCUGGCUGGCUAGGUGGGUGUCCCCUUCCUCCCUCACCGCUCCAUGUGCGUCCCUCCCAAAGCUGCCGGCUUGGUUGAAGAGGACGACCUUCCCCAUAGAGGAGGACCGUUCUUUGGUCAAGGGUAUACGAGCAGCUGCGCUCCCCUGCUAGAACCUCCAAACAAGCCCUCAAGGUCCAUAAACAUUUCAAUUGUUUCACUAUAUGAAAUAAAUACUGUAUAUUGUUGUAGUUUAAAAAUUUUGCUAAAUAAGAAAGACAGUAAUCACAUGUAGUGAUGCCUUAAUUU